rnacentral:rRNA from 1 species
GAUCCUGGCUUAGGAUUAACGCUGGCGGCGUGCCUAAUACAUGCAAGUCGAAUGGUAGUAGCAAUACAAACCAUGGCGAACGGGUGAGUAACACGUAGGUAACCUGUCUUUAAGACGAGGAUAACCAUUGGAAAUGAUGGAUAAUACUGGAUAGGACAUCAUAAAGGGCAUCCUUAGAUGUUUAAAGAUUAUAAUGUCACUUAGAGAGGGGCCUGCGGCGCAUUAGCUAGUUGGUGAGGUAAGAGCCCACCAAGGCGAUGAUGCGUAGCCGGACUGAGAGGUUGAACGGCCACAAUGGAACUGAGAACGGUCCAUACUCCUACGGGAGGCAGCAGUAGGGAAUUUUCGGCAAUGGGCGCAAGCCCUGACCGAGCAACGCCGCGUGAACGAAGAAGUUAUUCGUAAUGUAAAGUUCUUUUAUCUGGGAAGAAAAAACAAAUUGACGGUACCAGAUGAAUAAGCUCCGGCUAACUACGUGCCAGCCGCCGC